rnacentral:tRNA from 1 species
GAGGGUAUAGCUCAGUGAUUGAGAGUGUGCUUAGCAUGCACAAAGUACUGGGUUCAAUCCCCAGUACCUCCA